rnacentral:tRNA from 1 species
GCCACCAUAGCUCAGUGGCAGAGUAUUGGUCUUGUAAACCAGGAGUCGCGAGUUCGAUUCUCGCUGGUGGCU